UGUACUGGAUUCGCGGAUAGCAAAAAGACGUCAAGUUUGUUGCAUUCCCUGCAUUUCUUGGAUUCAAGCAUAAUGAUAUUUACAAGGACCCACAGUUGCCGGGUAUAAUAAAUACAGAACAGUCCACAAGAUUGCAGAAAGCCAAGAUGCAUGAUGGGAUACUUGACAUUCGUCUCUACAAACUCUAGAAGGAGAAAAUCCUUCCCUUAGUGGGAGUUGAUAAGAGACCACUCGUGUAAUGAUGCCUAGAACUUUAUUUCACCUCUGGGACAGGACAUGGACAUCAUUGGCUGGGCCAGCAACCAAGUGGCAUCUACAUUGUUUCAGCCAUGAAGAGAGGAGCCCCUUCGGACAUCAUCUCAUCCUAUACUUUUGAUGAAGAAGCCAAAUAUCCUUAGAGAAAGCAGCAGCAAAGGCUGCCUCCUGGAUUUGUUAACUAGAGUACAGUGGAGGGCACAAUCUGGUGAUCACCUCAUUUCUGCAGCUCAAGAAAGAAACACCCAGGUUGCUGGCACUCAGACAAUGGCUGGAGACUGAGCACCUGGUCCUAAUGAGUGUUAAUCUGAUAGAUUUGGCAUUAUGAAGGUGUGAGGUUGCAAAUUUUCCCACUAGAUAUCUGCUCCUCAUUUGAGUGUACAGUUGAACUCCUUGCAGAUGGAAAUCUUACAUCACAUGAUUUGAGAGUAUUUCCAAUUUUUAUGCUGUUAGUCUUGCCUUUAAAACACUGUAAAGUGUUAUGUCUUUUUGUACAAAUUGUAACUGGGUUUUUAUCAAAUAUGAAAUUAUAAAUACUGCUUUUCUGACUGAAAAAAAUGCAACUGUUUCAGAGAUAAUAGGAACUGCAGAUGCUGG